GUGUUGUGUGAAAGGAGAGAAGGUUAGCACUCCCCUUGAUAAGGAUGGGAGAGGUCCUAGUGGCCUUUACAACACAUAUACGGUUAAGGUAUUGCCACCUACUCUGUGGCAUCUAACCACAAUGUAUU